AGACGUGGGGACGCAGGCGGGUCGUAGAGAGCGGGUCCAUUGUAGGGGGAGAAAGAAAUAUUCAGGAUUUAAAGCAGCUGCUCUAAAGGCUACAUUCACUGCAAUGUUGAGAAGGUUCAGCCGUCUGUAUAUCUCCCCAGAUACCUGAAACUGACCACCUGAGUACGUUUUCCCAUUGCUGAGCUGUUUCCCUGAUAUCUGGCCAUGCAACGGAGAUCAAGAGGGAUAAAUACUGGACUUAUUCUACUCCUUUCUCAAAUCUUCCAUGUUGGGAUCAACAAUAUUCCACCUGUCACCCUAGCAACUUUGGCCCUCAACAUCUGGUUCUUCUUGAACCCUCAGAAGCCACUGUAUAGCUCCUGCCUUAGUGUGGAGAAGUGUUACCAGCAAAAAGACUGGCAGCGUUUACUGCUCUCUCCCCUUCACCAUGCUGAUGAUUGGCAUUUGUAUUUCAAUAUGGCAUCCAUGCUCUGGAAAGGAAUAAAUCUAGAAAGAAGACUGGGAAGUAGAUGGUUUGCCUAUGUUAUCACCGCAUUUUCUGUACUUACUGGAGUGGUAUACCUGCUCUUGCAAUUU
rnacentral:lncRNA from 1 species